CGCACACCGAAGUCUGUAUCAACUUGAGCGUAGGGUCCCGACUGAGACAAAUGAAUGGAACCAAAGUCCGCAGGGAGAUUCACCCGAGCACCGUUUACCUGAUGGGAAGAAGAAUAAAACACAGCUUGACACACAUGCAGGGCACUGGAUGCUGACUACUGAAGUUUAGGUUGUGUGUGACGGUGCUCAGCACAGCUUCAUGUCUGGCCUUCCCACUCUGUUCAUAGCAUGUUACAUAUUCAAUCUUGAGUACCAGGAUGGGGCAAGCGUGUAUCUUGGAGUCCACUGAAAGAUAUUAAUCCACAGAGUGGAACAAGAAGAAGCGUGAUCUAAAAUGCCAGGAUACAGAAGAAACAGGUUGUAGUGAACCCACAUGUUGCCGCUCUUCUAAACACGAUGAUGAAUUUUCAGUGAAAUUGAUGAAAAUUCUAGCUACUUGUUGUGCUCUGAUGGAUCAAGAUGUGGACCGUUUUACAGACUCACUUGGGCCUUGCUUUGUGAUGUUUUUUCCUGUAUUAUGCAAUUACAGAAAAUGCCUGUAAAUUAAAUUACAGUACUGUGGCUGUAAAAUUUACAGUAACUGGCUGGCAACCCUGCUGCCAGUAAUUUACUGUAAAUUUUACAGGAUUUUUUUUACAGUGUAUUGUAUGUUUCCAGGCAGUUUGCUUCAAAUUGCUUCAGGAGCUGAAAGAUUCGCCAUCAGCUAUCCAGCAUCUGACAUCAGUAUGGACUUCCUUACUAAGCUGACACAUUACUUAAACUAGCUAGGGGUGUUUGUGUGCAACAUAUUCAUUUCUUAACAUGUCUUACAAAAAAAGUAUUCCCAUAAUUAUAGAAUGCCUCUAAAUGAACAGUAACAUGCAACUACUCUUAUGUUUGGGGCUGAUAUCUUAACACCCAAAUUGUUAAUGAAUAUUAAUUUGUUAGGAAUGUUUAUUUUAUUUGAAAAUGAUAAAUAAAGUUAGAUGUACAGGGCUGUGUUUAAAGUCA